UACGGAGGAUGCAAGCGUUAUCCGGAAUUAUUGGGCGUAAAGCGUCCGCAGGUGGCACUUCAAGUCUGCUGUCAAAGCCCGGGGCUUAACCCUGGAAAGGCAGUGGAAACUGAAGCGCUAGAGUGUGGCAGGGGUAGAGGGAAUUCCCGGUGUAGCGGUGAAAUGCGUAGAGAUCGGGAAGAACAUCGGUGGCGAAAGCGCUCUACUGGGCCAUAACCGACACUCAGGGACGAAAGCUAGGGGAGCGAAUGGG
rnacentral:rRNA from 1 species